rnacentral:lncRNA from 10 species
CAACGUUGACAUGAGGAAUUAUCAAUGGGUUCCGGACAUAAUCAGCCACACGGCAGAGUGAAUUCCAGGAGUGUAAAUAACAAGAGCUGCCUAUAAAUCUACCUCAGAAGACAAAGGGAAAAGCAAAACUCUGCCCAGGAAGACCUUACUUUACAAACCAGCUCAACCAUAUUUACCAGCCUUCCUGUGGUCAUUUGUCUGAGCUCCAGCUAGUGAAGUAUGAGUAGAACGGACAUGCACCACUUCCAGACCUGGCACCGGCAAACCCCCCAUGGCAACCCUCCAACCCUUUCCUCAACAACUGGACCACGCUGGAAAGGACUGAGGAUCUAGAGGAGGACAGGGCUGUAAUAUGGAAGGAGUUUGGUUUCUGAAGGACCAUGUAGCAGGCCACCUGCAGGGCGGGAACAUCUUUAAUAGGUUUGGAAUAGCAAGAAAUAAACUGGUCUUGUAUUAAAC